AAGAAGACGAGCGAGGACAGAACGGACUGCUUCUCCUUCCCCGGCAGGAAGGAGCGUAAGCAGCGGUGGUAGGUGGUGACGCAGUACGCCACGGCCGACAGCGAGCCCACGGUCUUCAACACUGAGGAGGAAGAGACCACAGAAGGUUCAGAGGUCGUCACACAUUGAAGCUGCCUUCACACAAAGCCAACAUGAAACCAGCAGCCGUUGCGCAGCUCUUUUCUUUGGUCAGAAAAGAUCCACAACAAAUGAGAUCUGAGGCUGCCACACACCGACGCCCCCUGCUGGGCCCCCGGCCCACCAGCAGGUAAGGCAGGUGAAGCGAGUUGCCCAAUGACACGUCAGAGGCAGACAGAGAGAGAAUCAAACCGUCAACCCAACUGCAGGAGAAACUGCUACCGCCAUCGUCCUACAAGUCACAAAGAUCUCUGGCUACUCGACUCACUCGGUCACAGGUGAAAUCAGAUCAAAUCAAACUUAUUUUUACGCUCAUGAAAACAUCAUGGUGCAACCUCGAAGCCAAGUGGGUGAGAGGAAGCAUCUGGACAGUUUCUCUUUCUCAGUAGCUCCUGCAUCACAACCUAGCAAGUCUUCCUAGAACAAACUUUCACAGCUAAACUUAGCCUGACAUACCUGUCCAGUUGAGGCCCUGCAGUAGAAAUGUCUCAGAGACAUUCCACUGCCAUCCAUUAAAGAAGUUUAAUGUUCCUGCUGGUUGGAUCAGAUUACCUACAUCUGGUUACACCAGUACAACCAGCACAUCUCAGUCUCCCUGAUUUACCUGCAGCAGUUCACACCAGGCUAGGAUGGACUUUACAAGGCCCAAGUCUGUUACGCCACCAACUGUCCCCACAGCAGUGCUUCACGACUUCAGUGACCCUCCAGAAACUGAGCCAAGUCACAUGGAGAAGCUGUGGCAGCUGAAUAUGCUGCCAAACAGCGGUUGAUCACCAGGUCGAGGCAAGACAUGGAGGAAGUCUGCAUACUAGAACAGGAGACUAAUAGUUGAUGGUGUGAACAGGUAUGUAACUCCAUUGCUAUGGAAAAGGAACGGCCCUGUACCCCAUGCAGCUAAAGAAGCUGUCCUGCUCCAGCUGAAUGGGACAGAGAAACGGCCAGUGGAAGAUCGUCGCGCAGCGUCUUUGGGACAAGAAGACGUUUCCUGAAGUGUCUGCUCCACGCUUGGACGUCAUGGAUACUCAAUUACUCAAUUGUCCCAGACAACCUUACCCAGAUGCUACACUGACUGCAACUCAGACUGGACUGACCAAUCAGAUCAAUCCAUGUGUUUCAUGGUGCAUCUGAUUGGACUUAUGGAUCAGUGGUGUAUCCGCGCAGUGACGAUGGUGAUGGAGAAGUACAAGUGGCGUGAUUAGCUUCCACAUCCAAAGAAUCCAAAGAAGCUGUUAUUGAUAGAACGUCUCCAUUUGUGUGGCUGUUUGCUGGGGCAGCUUCAGUGCUGCUCAAAGAACUCAUCAUCAAGAUCCAAGAGGUGGCCUGCUGUUUCCAUAACGGUACCCAACUGGCUUCAGGCCCACUCCUGCACAUAUAAAGUGUUUGUAGGCAAAGGACAGCAGAGAUAAAGGAACUGCCAGACAUCAGAGCUGCUACGUUGAAUCAGCCACUACCAGACGUGUUGCAUCCCAUUUUACUUCUGUCGUCUCACCCAGUCUCCAAACUCCUGAUCUAUCAAGACAAUCAACUGGACCGCCUGCAGAGUGUGGAGAAAGUCCUGGCCGUUUGGAGGAGAAUCUGCCAGGAAGCACCAGAAGCUGUGUGGACUGCAGAAAGGCCGACCUCAAGCCUCCAGGAUGGAAACUCACCUCCCUCCUUUUCCGACUGAUUUUCUGUUUCCUCGUUUUUUCCCCCAUGAAGGUAAAGGCAGCAGGAUGCAGAGAAAGCAGGUGGGGCAUCCUGCUCUGGAGAACUUCACCACAACGUUCCCCCUGACCUGCUGCUGGGUUCCCUGACGUUCUCUACAGAACCUCGGAGGCCAGAACCAACAGAGCUGCUUCUCUGCAGAGGUCACGGGGUCAGAAGCCAUUAAUCCAGCCAUGCUGGGUUUCAGAGAGUUAUUUAGGGCUCUGGAGAUGUUUGGCCAACAGAAGGUUCAACAAUCUAAAUGUCUGUUUCUCUCCAAAAAAGGAGGGAAUCGCCAUAGCAACCAGUGAAUUAAAGGCGUUUUCUCCA